UGCUAUCGGUGGGUAUCCCAGAAUGCUGCGCUGCCCCGUUUCUACUUCAGCUUGGUCAGUGCGCUUGGCAAGAGGACAGGCUAGUGUGUGUCAGCAGCAUCAGCACUGGGGGAACUGCGUCUCACCAACCCAAGAGGAGGAGACAGGAAUACCUGUAAUCUGCCAUGACGACGGAACCAGGUGUGGAAUCAAAGGAGCGGGAGAACCAGCAGGCCAGUACAGCGCAGCCCGCUCAGGCCCAGCCCACUCCACCAGCUCAACCUCCUCACAUCCCCACGCAGGGUGACGAGGAGCAGUUUCCUGCUGCCGCUGCUCACAGCACACCCACCAGGAAGGACCAGAACGGAGAGAGAGGGGCAGAGGGCACUCCGCUGGGGAGGCACGAUCAGUUUGAAGACGAUAGAGCAUCUCCAAGGUCAUCUUCCAGCAAGCUCUCCAAGUCCCCUGGGAAGACCUCAAAGAAUCCCAGGAACAUGCAGUGCAAAAUCACCCUCUUGGAUGGGUCGGACUAUACCUGCGUCGUGGAGAAACGGGCCAAAGGACAGGUGUUAUUUGACAAAGUUUGUGACCAGCUCAACCUCCUGGAAAAGGACUACUUUGGCAUCACAUUCCGCGAUAUGGAGAACCAAAAAAAUUGGGUGGACCCUGCUAAGGAACUGAAAAAACAGAUAAGAAGUGGUGCCUGGAAUUUUUCAUUCAAUGUAAAGUUUUACCCACCAGAUCCUGCACAGCUGUCAGAGGAUAUAACCAGGUAUUACCUCUGCUUACAACUGAGGGAUGAUGUGGUUUCGGGCCGCUUGCCUUGCUCCUUUGCCACACACACCGUCCUUGGUUCCUACACAGUCCAGUCUGAGCUGGGGGAUUACGACCCAGAGGAGUACGGAAGCGACUACGUCAGCGAGUUUCGUUUUGCCCCCAACCAGACCAAGGAGCUGGAGGAGAAGGUCAUGGACCUCCACAAAAACUAUAAAGGGAUGACACCAGCUGAAGCGGAGAUGCAUUUCCUGGAGAACGCCAAGAAACUGUCUAUGUAUGGAGUGGACCUCCAUCAUGCCAAGUUGAUAGGAAGCAUCUUUGAGUGCUUGGCUCCAGCUAAAGGGGAGGAUUCAGAGGGCGUGGAGAUCAUGCUGGGCGUGUGUGCCAGUGGACUUCUCAUUUACCGUGACAGAUUGCGCAUCAACAGGUUUGCCUGGCCCAAAGUCCUCAAGAUCUCCUACAAAAGGAACAAUUUCUAUAUCAAAAUCCGCCCUGGGGAGUUUGAGCAAUUUGAAAGCACGAUAGGUUUCAAACUCCCAAACCACAGAGCGGCAAAGAGGCUUUGGAAAGUCUGUGUGGAGCAUCACACCUUUUUCAGGUUGGUGUCUCCAGAAGCCCCUCCCAAAAAGUUCCUCACACUUGGCUCCAAGUUCCGCUACAGUGGCCGGACCCAGGCCCAGACACGACGGGCCAGCUCCCAGAUUGUCCGUCCCGCGCCUUACUUUGAACGCUCCUCCAGCAAGCGCUACACCAUGUCCCGCAGUCUAGAUGGUGCUCAGCGGCGUCAUCCAAUAAAUACAGUGACUCUAGACCAUGGACUUAAACUGCCUGUCAAUGUAAAUGACCGUAACGCAAAAGAGAUGGGCACGGGCCAGUAUGGCACAGCCAAGGGAAUCGCCACGAGUGACCUCAUCACCACGGUAACACCGGAAAAGAAAGCAGAGGAAGAAAAGGCUGAGAAAGAGGAUGAGGAGAAACUGAUGGCCAUGGAGCAGUCUGAGGUGUCCGAGCCAAUUCCAACAACCCCAGUGCGACAUGAGAUGAAGACUGACAGCGAGUGGACAGAGACUAUUGCCGAUGGUGAAACCACAGCGACAGAGUCGGAUCAAGAAGAUGAAUCUGAGAUAAAGACACAGGAAAUAAGUAAGACUCCAGAGGAGCUGAUGAAACACCAAACCAAUAUAAGUGACCUGAAGCGUACAUUUUUGGAAACGGGUGCAGACACUUCUGCUCUCACUGAAUGGGAGAAGAGGUUAUCCACGUCACCAGUUCGGUCCCCAAGGCUAGAGGAUGCCCCCAUGAUCGAACCCCUUGUGCCUGAUGAAGCCAAAGAUGAUGCAAAGACGAUGGCUGCAGACAUCCUGCAAGUGAAGCACAGCGUUUUGGAAACAAGAAGUACUACGGAUUCUGAUGGGUGGGUUAUAGUAAACAAAGUCCCUCCCAAGGUAGCAGAAAAGAAAAAUGUUGUCAACUAUAAAAUAGUGGCAGUGACUAGCACUACUCUUGAUGGGGAGCUCAAAGGCAGUGAGUUCAAAACCUUCAAGGACUUCCGCAAUGAAAUCAAGUCAAAAGAGGAGGAGAUGAAGCAGAAACCCUACACUUUGGGGAAGUCCUACGAUACCAUGUCGGGUAAAAUUGUCACCAUGACGGCCCGAGCUAAAGAUUGUGACAAACCAGUACAGUUGUACCCACAAGAAAAGAGGAUGUCGGAUCGGGCUCCACCGGCGGUGAAGAUCAUACCAGUCUCUGCCGAAUAUGAGAUGCUAGAGUCAGCAGUCGAGGAUGGCAAAGGGACUUUGGUUACCAUAAAGGAGGCUGAAACUCCCUCACCCUCUGAGGCCACUGUAGGCACCGUGAGGACUGUGAUGGCCAUCGGCUCCAGUGAGGAGAUAGGGCAAGCAAGAAGGCCUGAAGUGAGGUUACAGAAGGACAGCGUGGCCCAGGGAGACAAGGUCCUGGCCUCCACAAAGUCUCCAACAGGCCUGCGGUUGACCACAGGCACUGCCCACUAUGUAACGAAAACUUCACCUACAUCCAGAGCAGUGCCUAAGCCCACCUUUGAUGAGAUGUCCCCAGAGCUCACGGCUCUGCUGCAGUCAGCACGAGACCAGAUCAGCGCAGUGGGAUGGGCCACCUCUCCUUCACAUAGUCAGACCAUUCUGAAGUCAACAGAGCGAAAAGAGACGAUUACACUGCAGACGUCUGCCUCCCAGCAGCAGCAGGAGGAGGAGGGCAAGCAGGAAGAGGAGAAGGAGGAGGAGCAGGCAGUGACAGUGACACAGGUGCUGCAGGACACAGAGCCACCUCCGCAGGAACCUGUGGUGAAUAUGCAUGUGACCGAGGCUUCUGACAGUGCCCCUGCUGAUCCCAGCAGUGCCGCUAUCGCUGACGCUAUCGCUGCUGCCGCUACCGCUACCGCUACCACUGCUGCAGUGCAGGCAGAGGCUGCUGCUCCGCCUUGCUUGGCAGAGGAGCUGGGCUCCCCACGCCCAACAGACGCCAGGCAGGAGAAGUUAGCGGCUGGAGGCAGUCCAGCCUCUGCGGCCAUCUCCUCUGCAGAGGGACUGGCAGAGCUGGAGCAGGCAGCUGAGGCUUUCAGUACGAAAGCAGCAACCACUAUAUCUCACUUGGAGAAAUCACUGGUGUUUAAAACGGAGGCUGCAGGUUUCAGUAGCAUUACGCGAGAAGAGAGAGAGGAGCUUGUGACCAAGGAACUGCCAGUAAUCAACACAGAAACAAAAACCAUUACAUCCAAGUCAUCACAGGAUGACGCUGGAGCUGAUGUUGAUCCAGGGAUAUUAAUGAGUGCCCAGACCAUCACUUCAGAAACGACAAGCACCACUACGACUACGCAAAUCACAAAGACUGUGAAGGGUGGCUUCUCAGAGACAAGGAUUGAGAAGAGGAUUGUCAUUACAGGGGAUGCAGACAUCGACCGUGACCAGGGUUCCUUUGAGCUAGGCGCUGGCUCAGGCCAUUAAAGAAGCCAAAGAGCAGCAUCCUGACAUGUCUGUGACCAAAGUAGUGGUACAUAAAGAGACAGAGCUCACCCCAGAAGAGGGGAAAGAGUAAUGCAGGAUUAGACCAUCACCCUUCAGAGGACAUUUAUUUUACACCAUAUGGAAUAAAGGACACCUGCAGGAAUCGACCUUAACUUCCGGCAUCACAACACUUUAACCACUCCUCCACUGUAUUGGAGCACUAUAAGACUAAUGACCCACUCAUUAUGAAAACUCUGACUCAUGUAUCUCUAAACCUGUCAAAUCCAUUACCAGGAAAUGCAUACUGCAUGACAAGGGAGCAAUUCUGCAUUUUUUACAAAAAUGAUCAAAAACCCAAAAAGUUAUGUAUACAAUUUCUUAUCUACCUGCACGUUUGGACAAAUGGCGGGAUGAUUCAAAGAAAAACUGAACAUUUUUAUUCACUGCCUUAUGGAGUAAUGACUUUUAAAGUGAUAUAAAUAAUCAUUUAAGUAGGUUAAUUUUAUUUGAGAAAACAAAUUGUUCAAAAGAAUAAUGUAGGUUGACCAUUUAAGUGUGCACAAUAUUUAAUCAUUCAGUAGAUGUGCCAACCACACCACCAGGCUCUUGAUCCUUCAGUCAACCUUCCAAGCACAUUUUAUCUAAUUUUACUCAUAUUGCCUGCUAAAUAAAGAACCUUCACAUUUAAAGGUCUGAACACAGUACAUAUAUGUACUUUUAGGCCAUAUAUUAUUCUUAGAAAUUUUUGUCAUUUUUUAUUUGAAUUGUCUGUUUUUUCCACAAAAUAUCAAGUUAAUCAACAAGGAGACUUGUGUAUACUAUUUUUAAAAUAAUGAGAUUGCUGCUGGAGGAACCAAUUCUGUGACCUGGCUAAUGGUGUCACCACAAGGUGGACUGUGUUCGUCCUUAUUCUUUGUCAUGUCAGUGGAAGUCCAAGAGCCCCCCACCACAUUGUUUGUUGGGCAUGGCCGAGCCUUAAGACUGUACAGAAAAGGCAGCGUUUCAGGUGCUGCCCAAAACUGUGUGCGUGCGUGUGUCUGGACAUCCUGCCCCACUCUGUCAUCAUCGUCGAUGCCAUCUAUGUUAAAUGUGCUUCCACAUUAGUGAAAUAAAAGUGAUAAAUGCA